rfam:Oryza brachyantha chromosome 2, whole genome shotgun sequence.
UAGCUUGAUGAAGAAGAACUCGUCGCAUACAUGAUUGUUGGUCUCGAUUCUGAUUACGAGCUGGUAAUAUCAGCUCUUGCGGCACGGAAGGAACCAGUCAUAGUAGAAGAACUUUAUGGACAAUUGCUGGGAUUCGAAG